rnacentral:rRNA from 1 species
GACGAACGCUGGCGGCGUGCUUAACACAUGCAAGUCGAGCGGAAAGGCUCCUUCGGGGGUACUCGAGCGGCGAACGGGUGAGUAACACGUGAGUAAUCUGCCCUCCACUUCGGGAUAGCCACCGGAAACGGUGAUUAAUACCGGAUAUGACCGCUUCUCGCAUGGGAUGGUGGUGGAAAGUUUUUCGGUGGGGGAUGUGCUCGCGGCCUAUCAGCUUGUUGGUGGGGUAAUGGCCUACCAAGGCUUCGACGGGUAGCCGGCCUGAGAGGGUGACCGGGCACACUGGGAGUGAGACACGGCCCAGACUCCUACGGGAGGCAGCAGUGGGGAAUAUUGGACAAUGGGCGGAAGCCUGAUCCAGCAACGCCGCGUGAGGGAUGACUGCCUUCGGGUUGUAAACCUCUUUCACCUAUGACGAAGCGAAAGUGACGGUAGUAGGAGAAGAAGCACCGGCCAACUACGUGCCAGCAGCCGCCGUAAUAC